UGGGUCCGUGAUGACCGUUGGUAGCCUGUGAGUUACACAUCAUCAUUACAGUUCUGAGAGGCUGAGGUCCAC